AUUGAACGCUGGCGGCAGGCCUAACACAUGCAAGUCGAGCGGAUGAAGGGAGCUUGCUCCUGGAUUCAGCGGCGGACGGGUGAGUAAUGCCUAGGAAUCUGCCUGGUAGUGGGGGAUAACGUCCGGAAACGGGCGCUAAUACCGCAUACGUCCUGAGGGAGAAAGUGGGGGAUCUUCGGACCUCACGCUAUCAGAUGAGCCUAGGUCGGAUUAGCUAGUUGGUGGGGUAAAGGCCUACCAAGGCGACGAUCCGUAACUGGUCUGAGAGGAUGAUCAGUCACACUGGAACUGAGACACGGUCCAGACUCCUACGGGAGGCAGCAGUGGGGAAUAUUGGACAAUGGGCGAAAGCCUGAUCCAGCCAUGCCGCGUGUGUGAAGAAGGUCUUCGGAUUGUAAAGCACUUUAAGUGGGGAGGAAGGGCAGUAAGUUAAGACCUUGCUGUUUUGACGUUACCAACAGAAUAAGCACCGGCUAACUUCGUG
rnacentral:rRNA from 1 species